CGGGGGAACUAACAUAUCAAUAAGCGGAGGAAAAGAAACUAACAAGGAUUCCCCUAGUAACUGCGAGUGAAGCGGGAAAAGCUCAAAUUUAAAAUCUGGUGGCCUUUGGCCAUCCGAGUUGUAAUUUAGAGAAGCGUCUUCCGCGCCGGACCGUGCACAAGUCUCCUGGAAUGGAGCGUCGUAGAGGGUGAGAAUCCCGUCUUUGGCACGGAUGACCGGGGCUUUUGUGAUGCGCUCUCGAAGAGUCGAGUUGUUUGGGAAUGCAGCUCAAAAUGGGUGGUGAACUCCAUCUAAAGCUAAAUAUUGGCGAGAGACCGAUAGCGAACAAGUACCGUGAGGGAAAGAUGAAAAGCACUUUGGAAAGAGAGUGAAACAGUACGUGAAAUUGUUGAAAGGGAAACGCUUGAAGUCAGUCGCGUCGGCCGAGACUCAGCCUUGCCUCGGCUUGGUGUACUUCUCGACCGACGGGUCAGCAUCAAUUUUGCCCCUUGGAUAAUGGCGAGGGAAAUGUGACACCUUUACAGGUGUGUUAUAGUCUCUCGUCGCAUGCGAGGGUCGGGAUUGAGGAACUCAGCACGCGCCUUUAGGCGUCGGGGCCUUGCCCACGAUACGUGCUUAGGAUGUUGGCGUAAUGGCUUUAAACGACCCGUCUUGAAACACGGACCAAGGAGUCUAACAUGCCCGCGAGUGUUCGGGUGGAAAACCCGUGCGCGCAAUGAAAGUGAAAGUUGGGACCUCUGUCGUGGAGGGCACCGACGCCCGGACCAGACCUUCUGUGACGGAUCUGCGGUGGAGCGUGUAUGUUAGGACCCGAAAGAUGGUGAACUAUGCCUGAAUAGGGUGAAGCCAGAGGAAACUCUGGUGGAGGCUCGUAGCGAUUCUGACGUGCAAAUCGAUCGUCAAAUUUGGGUAUAGGGGCGAAAGACUAAUCGAACCAUCUAGUAGCUGGUUCCUGCCGAGUUCUCUC
rnacentral:rRNA from 1 species